ACCUAAUGAUGUGGACAUUUACGAAGUAGGUCCCUAAAACACUCCUAAGUAUAAAAGAAAAGUUCCUCAUUCAUCUGUGUGAAACUUGUGAUUGCCCUUUGCAU